AUUGAACGCUGGCGGCAGGCCUAACACAUGCAAGUCGAGCGAGCGGCGGACGGGUGAGUAAUGUCUGGGAAACUGCCUGAUGGAGGGGGAUAACUACUGGAAACGGUAGCUAAUACCGCAUACCAUCAGAUGCGCCCAGAUGGGAUUAGCCAGUAGGUGGGGGAACGGCUCACCUAGGCGACGAUCCCUAGCUGGUCUGAGAGGAUAACCAGCCACACUGGACCUGGGACACGGUCCAGACUCCUACGGGAGGCAGCAGUGGGGAAUAUUUCACAAUGGGCGCAAGCCUUAUGCAGCCAUGCCGCGUGUGUGAAGAAGCCCUUCGGUUUGUAAAGCACUUUCAGCGGGGAGGCGUUACCCGCAGAAGAAGCACCGGCUAACUCCGUGCCAGCAGCCGCGGUAAUAC
rnacentral:rRNA from 1 species